GAUGAACGCUGGCGGCGUGCCUAAUACAUGCAAGUCGAGCGAACGGACGAGAAGCUUGCUUCUCUGAUGUUAGCGGCGGACGGGUGAGUAACACGUGGAUAACCUACCUAUAAGACUGGGAUAACUUCGGGAAACCGGAGCUAAUACCGGAUAAUAUUUUGAACCGCAUGGUUCAAAAGUGAAAGACGGUCUUGCUGUCACUUAUAGAUGGAUCCGCGCUGCAUUAGCUAGUUGGUAAGGUAACGGCUUACCAAGGCAACGAUGCAUAGCCGACCUGAGAGGGUGAUAGGCCACACUGGAACUGAGACACGGUCCAGACUCCUACGGGAGGCAGCAGUAGGGAAUCUUCCGCAAUGGGCGAAAGCCUGACGGAGCAACGCCGAGUGAGUGAUGAAGGUCUUCGGAUCGUAAAACUCUGUUAUUAGGGAAGAACAUAUGUGUAAGUAACUGUGCACAUCUUGACGGUACCUAAUCAGAAAGCCACGGCUAACUACGUG
rnacentral:rRNA from 1 species